GAUGAAGAACGUAGCGAAAUGCGAUAAGUAAUGUGAAUUGCAGAAUUCAGUGAAUCAUCGAAUCUUUGAACGCACAUUGCGCCCGCUAGUAUUCUGGCGGGCAUGCCUGUCCGAGCGUCAUUUCAACCCUCAAGCCCCCGGGCUUGGUGUUGGGGAUCGGCGAGCCUCCGCGCCCGCCGUCCCCUAAAUCUAGUGGCGGUCUCGCUGUAGCUUCCUCUGCGUAGUAGCACACCUCGCACNGGNNNNNAGCGCGGCCACGCCGUUAAACCCCCAACUUCUGAACGUUUGACCUCGGAUCAGGUAGGAAUACCCGCUGAACUUAAGCAUAUCAAUAAGCGGAGGA
rnacentral:misc_RNA from 1 species